rnacentral:tRNA from 1 species
UGGAUUAUAAUUUAACUAAAAUAUUUAAUUUGCAAUUAAAAAUUAUUGUUUUUAUACAAUUUAUCUAA